GAAAUGAUAUUACUUAUCAUAUUUAAUAAUUUGAGAAAAAAAGCUAUUGUAGUAUUUUUAAAAACUGCUUUGAUGUGCGGAAAAUGACAGUUUCCUAUACAUUCCUAUAGUAAAUGUACCUCUAUUUUGAGAUGGUCCCUAAAAAGAACCAGACGGUCGAUUUUCAUGAACCUUCGCAUAUAAACUAGAGUUGGUUUCAAUUACAUAUGGUUAAAAAAUAAAGAGUUUUGCUAUUGUAGUUUUUCCGCAAAAAAACCCAAAUCGGCCUCCUUAAGUUUCACUCAAACAUACUCAUUAUUAAAUAAUAUUAAAGAAAGAAAAUAGUACAAGAGACACAAGGUCCUUGUAAUUUAGAAAUUGAAUGGACUUUAAGCUAACUUUUAUUUGAUUUUUCAUGUGUCUGCAUAAUGAAAUUAUUGCAAUUGAGGGCUUUAUAAUAACCUUUUAUAUUUUCUGAAUUUUUGUUUAAACUAGUAAGUUACAUUUUAUUUAAAAAAUAAAAAAGACAGACAGAAGAGGGGGUCCCAAUAAUUAAACUUAGAAUUUAUAUGAAUCAAGUUAUCUGUACCUAACAGAUUUCCUUUGCAAUUUGAUAUUUUUCUUUGAAAAUGUAAUGGAACACAAACUAUCAGAGGACGUUAGAAACAAAUUCAUAUCUGUGGUACUUUGAGUGUGAUGAAGACUGCUUGAUUGUGACUGUUUUGUUUAUGAAUAUUGUUCUUUGUUAUUAUUGUCCUGUGUGUUGAAGAGAAAAGAAAUGUGAUAUAGAGUAAAACGAUUUACUCGCAUUACUUUGUAAAAUAAACUCACAAGAAGUU
rnacentral:sRNA from 1 species